CUUUACAUAUAUGUACCAUUAUAUAGUUUACAAAAUAAAUUGUCGCGCAAAUAUAUUUUUCAGCAAAAAUAUAUUUCACAUCUUUUAUAUAAAAUAUUUGCGCAGUUUUUUUAUACACAGUAGAAUGAUACCUAUUUGGCAAAUGAUGUUGGGCGUUUGUAUUGGUGUUGUUGCUCUCAUACUUGUCCGACCACGAGCGCUUCCCAAUCAAGAAACCAAUCAAGAAAACCGAAAACGAAACAGAAAAAAUUCUAGCACAUUCACCACUACUCCUGGUGAUUCUUGUGUCAUUUGCCUUGAUGAAAUGACUAAUAGUACAAUGGCGUACUUGCGUUGCGGCCAUGCUCUGCAUGAUAAAUGCUUGGAAAUAUUCAAAUCUUAUCAACAAACCUGUCCAAUUUGUAGCCAACGUAUUUGAGAUCUGUAGGUAUUAUAUUAUUUUGCUGUAGAGUUGGGUUAAAAUUAAUAAUAUAAAAAUAGAGUUCGUUACAGAACUAAAGUUAAUACAAUCAGUACACAUAUUCGGAACGAGAGGAUACUUUUUAAGUUAUACUAGAAACGCAAAUAGGCUGAUUGCAGCUUUCGAAAUACAAAAGAUUGAUUUAAACAUUUCAAAAGAUUUUAUAAAUGUAUGUAAUAGUUAAACCGUGUUUACGUUAUUUAUUUUAAAAUUCAUUUUAUUUACAAACUUUUACUCUUAUAAAACUAUGUAUGUUAGAAGAAUUGCAUUAAAAAAAAAUAAAAAUUAAGUUAAUAAACAA